CUCAAAGGAAUUGACGGGGACCCGCACAAGCGGUGGAUGAUGUGGAUUAAUUCGAUGCAACGCGAAAAACCUUACCUACUCUUGACAUGUCUGGAAUCCCGAAGAGAUUUGGGAGUGCUCGCAAGAGAACCGGAACACAGGUGCUGCAUGGCUGUCGUCAGCUCGUGUCGUGAGAUGUUGGGUUAAGUCCCGCAACGAGCGCAACCCUUGCCAUUAGUUGCUACAUUCAGUUGGGCACUCUAAUGGGACUGCCGGUGACAAGCCGGAGGAAGGUGGGGAUGACGUCAAGUCCUCAUGGCCCUUAUGGGUAGGGCUUCACACGUCAUACAAUGGUCGGGACAGAGGGUUGCCAAGCCGCGAGGUGGAGCCAAUCUCAGAAACCCGAUCGUAGUCCGGAUCGCAGUCUGCAACUCGACUGCGUGAAGUCGGAAUCGCUAGUAAUCGCGGAUCAGCAUGUCGCGGUGAAUACGUUCCCGGGUCUUGUACACACCGCCCGUCAC
rnacentral:rRNA from 1 species